rnacentral:lncRNA from 1 species
ACAAGUACAGACAAUCACCAGGAACUAAGGAACAAGAAGCAUCCAACCCUGCAUCUGUGGGUUUCCUGAGGUGACUCUCAAUUGUCAUAGGUUUCACAGAGCCAAGCAGAAAAGGAGCACAGGUGACCUUGGCAGGAAGGCAUGCAUGGGAGAGCAGGUCUGCACUCUGGGACACCAGCCUCAACAAAUACGAGUUUUGAAUUUUUGAAUUGCUGUUAAAACUUUCAUCAUGAACACUGAAGUGAGUGAAAAGAGACUUUUGCAGUCAUUUUUUUCUGGCUGCAGAUGACAGUGACACCCUGGGAGUUGAGAAAUGCUUGUAAGAUGGAAGGAGGCUGUGUCCCUGAAUGAUCACCUGGAAGAGAGCCACCUUAGCCAAUGAAACUCCUGCUAUGAAUGUUUGCUGAGCAAGAAAUAUACUUACUGCUUUAUAUGCCUUUGAAGCUAUAGGUUCAUAUUGUUACCACAAUUUAAAGUGCUAUAAUAAAAAGAGUUCAGGAAGCAGGCACAUGGAAGCAAUAAGAGCAACAAACAUUUACACAGACAGAGAUCAUGGAAGUUGGGCCCGACUGGAUGAGAUUUGGGGGUCUUUGGAAGUGGAGAAUGUGUUUGCCCUGGGGAAGAAGGUGAUGUCUAGGAGACCUCUUCACUCAGGGCAAGCUCUAUGACCUGCUUUGACUCCAGAAUGUGGUAGAAGUGGCAUCACAUAAAUUGCAGAGCCUAGGCUUCAAGAGACCUUGCAACUUGCCUCUCACUGACUUGAAGUGCUCCCAUCAGAGCAUCUUGUAAGGAGCAGGUGGAGCAUGUGGACAAGCCAUCCCCACCAGCCCCUGAGACAUGUGAGAGAGGCCAGAACAGGCCAUCCGGACCCCACUGUGCUGGUGGAUGAGACAGCAGAAGGAAUAUCAACCUACCAACAGAAUCCUGAGAAAUGCUCACUCUUACUUCAAGCUGCUGCAUUUUGAUGUUAUGAAACCAUAAAUAACUUAUGAAGUCAUCUUUGCUGACUUAAAGUUUUCCAUAACUUUAUUAUAACAUAUCAAAAUUAUGAAAAAUGUGAAAAGUAGAAAACUGAUGAAUUUUGCUUCUUCAUAUGGUCUUUAAGAAUCUCAAAGGCACUGAAGUUUUUUAUCUUUUCUGUCUUAGAAUAAAAAACCUUGAAUGAAAAUCUGCUUCUUGGAAAAGCAGCAAGGUUUAUGCAGAGGCAAUCUGGUAUUUGUGUGCACUGGCAGCUGAUCAUACCCAGCAUGCACGCACUCUCAGGGCAGAGUCUGAUGCCCCACAUAAUGGGGCAUGGUAAGGACUCCCAUGUCCUUGAGAUAAAAUGAUAAGGAAAAUACACACUGCUAUUAGAAUAACAGGCCCAGCUUCUGCACAUUUUAAUUCCCAAAGUUUUCAUGAAAGACAAUGAUUUUUUGGUACCAUGUUUAACUCUACAAGAAUCAGUAGUGAAAACUAAAAAUGAUACUUUGUGAAAGUUCAUUAAUUUUGUUUUCAGCCAGUGGUGGCCUUGGUCAGAUAGAAUCAAAUCUAUGAUACUUUUUAUCAGAAAUGCUUAUACUGUGUACAAACCCAAAGUGAUGGCUUUCAAAGAUUGAAUUUGAUUAUUUUCUGUAUGGUGCAGAUGAAAAAUUACUACACAGGAGAAGGUGGGUUGGAGGUGCUCACGAGUAACCAGGAAACAGUCUGAAGUUUUUCUGAUACUUCUCCUUGGUCCAACCAAAUGUGAGAUAUAAACACAAACUUGGGAUUCCGUUCUUAUGUUUUGGUUGUUUCAGUCUUUACAGAUGUAUCGAAAGGCUGUCCAAAAAUGUCUGACUUCUGUAGUGUGCCUUCGUAGCACUAGAGGGUUCUGCAGCUGUGAAACUGAAGGCAUUGGCAAGAAGCCCUCCAUCUUCAAACCACUUUCUGCUAA